CCUACGGGAGGCAGCAGUGGGGAAUAUUGCACAAUGGGGGGAACCCUGAUGCAGCGACGCCGCGUGAGUGAAGAAGUAUUUCGGUAUGUAAAGCUCUAUCAGCAGGGAAGAAAAUGACGGUACCUGACUAAGAAGCCCCGGCUAACUACGUGCCAGCAGCCGCGGGAAGACGGAGGGGGCAAGCGUUAUCCGGAUUUACUGGGUGUAAAGGGAGCGCAGACGGCUGUGCAAGUCUGGAGUGAAAGGCGGGGGGCCAACCCCCGGACUGCUCUUGAAACUGUAAAGCUGGAGUGCAGGAGAGGUAAGCGGAAUUCCUAGUGUAGCGGUGAAAUGCGUAGAUAUUAGGAGGAACACCAGUGGCGAAGGCGGCUUACUGGACUGCAACUGACGUUGAGGCUCGAAAGCGUGGGGAGCAAACAGGAUUAGAUACCCUUGUAGUC
rnacentral:rRNA from 1 species